AAUUUGUGAUGUAGGGUGUAGUUGGGGUCUAGAACAUAUUCCUAGAUCAACACAAGAUGUCUGGAGCUGUGAAGUUACCCUGCAGCGCUUUGACUUUUGUCUCAGCUCUCUUUCAGAUGCGGACGGAUGAAAUCGGUGGCAGAGCGCCCCAUCCAGGGUAAGGGGGUUCCCCCGAGAAGGUAAGUCAGUGUUUGUCUUUGCAGGGCAACUGGAACCGGUCCCUGUGUUACAGGUCUCCUCUUUGUCUUUAUUUUUAGGAAAUAGAGCCAUCUAGCAGCAGUCAAGGUGAAGCGGGCAAGGCGGUCCAGUCGCGUUUCGUCGAGACCCCGUCGCCAGCCGGCCGGCACGCCUGCUUCGCCGCUCCCGUGAGCCCUGCGGAAGCGUCACAGGGACCGCGUGACGGAGCCUUUUCCACGUAAAGGGGCCUUGUGGCUGGCCUUCAGGAAGGGGCCGAGGGCUUCCCGCGUGCCCUGCGACGACGCUGCCUGGUCCCGGCGUGGCCGUAUUGUGCGGCCUCAGGACACGGCCGUUCGCAGGAGACCCUGACGGAGAGACGACAGCCUGGCGAUGGCAGGAACUUCCCGGAUAGCCAGGUGGCCUUCCUUGGCUCUCCGUGUGGAUCCUCCCCAGCGGGCAUCCGAGAGCUGAGUCGAAGGCUACGACCCGCAGAGGGGAUGAAAGUGGGGUGCCGGGUCGGGACUUGUGACCUGGGAUAUUUGAGUCAGCUUUGGGGACGGGGAGGUCCAGGCUGUGGCCCCUUAGGCCGCACGGUGGGAGAGCCUCACUUUUGUUCACAGUGCUGAGGUGUGCAGGACAGAGCAGCCUCGGGGCGUGGCGUGUCACUCGUCCAUCGUGCCUUCUGUGUCUUUUGUGCCUCCUGUGUUGUAUGUGCCUUCCCUUAUCCCUUCUGGGGGCUUACCAGAAACCCCAGCGUCACUUAUAGCAUCUGCGAUCUCUGGGCUCCUUGGCUCGGCUGCUCUCAGAGGCCUUGGAAUCGCGUCUCUUUUGAAAAACAUCCGAUCGGAUGUCUUGUAGAUGUCUUCUUCCGAGCUGUGUCAACAGCCGUGCGCCGCGAGGAUCCAUUGUUGCGGCUUAGGACUUGAAGAAACGCAAAGAUAGGUAGGGGACUGCGGCCCUCAGGUUCUUGAGCAUCUGUCUUGGCAGUUCCUGGAGUUAAUUGUUCCAUCAGCAUCUUCUUCCUCCCGGGUUCUGUGAGCUUCAUCAGCUCGCCUUCAUUCUCACCCGGCUCAUCUCGUUCCGCAUUCUCUCAGUCCUUGCGGCCGUCCUUGUGGCCCAGAGUUUUGUCUCCCCAUUGUGUCCCCUCGUCUGUUGUCUGGUGUGUCACGGGUGUCUGGGUGUAGUUGCCCCGGAGCUGCUCUGCCCUGCUGCCCAGCCUGGCUGUAGGUGUAAAAGGCCAAGUCCCAGGCCCCUGUAAUUUGAAAUUUGUGACAUAGGUUUUACUUUGGAAUCUAGAGGCUUUUCCUAGAUCAACACAAGAUGUCUGCAUCUGUGAAGUUAUCCUGCAGUGCUUUGAGUUGUGUCUUAGCUUCCUAAGCAUUUUAUUAUUUGCUGCCGAAUGUGGGGUUCAGAAGAGUAAGGAAAACCCAUGCUGAUUAUAUUGUAUUGGUGCUUACUGUGUGCUGGGAUAAAGGACUUUGUAAUGGUGUUACUUAAGUUCAUGUCUCUCAGGGUGGAGGCCUUUAUGUUGUUCUAGUCUCUGAGCUUUUUGGAGGUUUUAAUGCCUUUCUUGUCCCUAAGUUUAUUUUCUUAUCCAAAAAUAACUCCAAUACUGUCCCUACUACAUAACUUUCACAGUAAAAGAGAACAGAUUACUAUAGCUGUUAUGCUAAGGUCAGUAAUAAUGAUGGAUAAAAACUUUAUAAAAGUACUGAAAUUUGUACCAAAUA